UUUCACCACUUUACUUCCUUAAUAAACUUACUUUUGCUUUGCACUGUGGACUUGCCCUGAAUUCUUUCUUGUGGGAGAUCGAAGAACUCUCUCUUGGUGUCCGGAUCGGGACUCCUUUCCGGUAACAUCACUAUGUUGCCCAGGCUGGUCUUGAACUCCUGGCCUCAAACCAUCCUAUAGAUUCGACCUCCGAAAGUGCUGGGGUUACAGGCAUAGCCACUGUGCCCAGCUGGAACAAUCUUUAUGAAGGUGAAUUAAAGCUGUGAGGCAUGAGACCAGAAAAGAUGCACCAGGAGUAAUGGAUUUUGGUGGAGAAUGAGCCACAGAAACGCGAUCAUGAGGCAAAUGGUGGGGCCUAACCCUGCCUUCUCAGUCCUCGGGAUGGGAGACCGGGCUAGAGAAGAGAAGGCUGGUGUGAAAACGCCGGGAGGCCCUCAUCGAGCCUCAUUCUCAGCCACAUCGUAAGGAUUUAGAGGCCCUAAGCACUGACGACGCUGUGGUGCCACAAAAAUAGACAAGCAGGGCAUGUGCGCUGAAGCUGGAAGAGGCUUCUUCCAUAUUUUCAUUGCAAAAUCAGAACUUUGUGCAGCUGCUGGCUGAUAAACCUGCUCCUGCUCUCUCUAAGGCAAGGCCAAGCACAGCUCCUUUCCCCUAGGGCAUGUGCCUUUGCACUGCCCGAGGCUGCUCCUUGGUCCCAAGUCCACAGUACUUUGCUUCUCAGGACAGUUUUCCAUUCUCAGAUAACCCUGCAUUUUACCGAGAUGUCAAAGCAGGAAGUGCUUGGCUGGAACAUCUGCCGACAGCCUCAUCUCUUUCUGCAAGAUCAUGAUGUUCUGCAUGCUCCUGUGGCCUCUUAUUUCACGUUGCUCUCCCUGCAAAUUUUGAAACAACUUUAAAGAUGAAUAAAAAGCAGCUCAGCAAGUGAAUCCCAGAUCCCGGUAAGAGAGUGUCUCCCCCAACUCACAUAGUGAGUGCACAUCAUCCCCAGAACCACCAUGAGAGUGAGCCUGGUAGCGGGUAGCACCCUGCCUGUGACGAAGCCAGCACACUAUGACGAGCAGCAGCUUCUAGACCCAUGGACCACGGGCACUGCCAACGCUCUCCCUCCGGGGACUCCUCCUGCCUCCCAUACAGGGCCAAACUCCGACGCCCACGAGCUCGCUCAGAAUUGGCUCAGGCUGCAAUCACUUCUCUUCUCCUACCUCCACACCAUUCCCUGAUGGUGGACAGCUUCUCCUUUGAGAACCACACCUGCCUUUUCAGACAAAAGGAGACACCACCCACCCUCCUGCUGAGGGCUGCUCCCCUGGGGCCUUCUCAGCACACCUCUCUCUCUCUAGGUCAAAAAACAAAUUUCACAUGCUGAAUUUUUACCUUUUUUAAAGUGACUCCGAAUUUUGGCACCAGCAAUUAAUUCAACACUUGAAUAAGAUUUGAAAACCUCACAACAAAUCACAAAUAUAUUAUGGGUCCUGUU
rnacentral:lncRNA from 1 species